UCUGCAGUUAACGAAUAUCGGUUAUCACCGAUAAGGUUUUCCAUUAUCAGUUAUCGGGUAUCGGGAAUAAGGUUAAUUUUCUGUUAUCGUGCCCAUCUAUGGUCGUCACUACCGUCAGCAUUAAUACUUGCUGCGGCAGAGGCACUGGAAACAAUCUUAUGAGCGUUGGUCUUACUAUUGGAGCUCCCGCCCCCCGGCCUCCUCGACCACCACGUCCUCGGGCCAUAUAUGUUCCCACUGGACGGACGUCCUUGGUGCAGUACGAGACGAAUAACAAGUCCCCACGUUGUAUCGUACAAACAACCCUUUGAGCAGAACCAGCAGCCGGAAAUGAUAGAAAAAAAAUAUUACUGAUACUGAACAAGCAAACGCAAACUGUAACGGAAACGAGACAGGAAUGUCACGGGAUUGUGCUCCCGCUGCAAGGGCGCCAACCCACGUACAUCAUCGUCAUCAUCUGCAGGGAAGGUAAACACAGCACGGGGCGCCGCUCUGCAACACGGAGGCUGAGGAUCACCAGCGGCUGUCAGGCGGCAGGGAGAGUAGUGCAGUAUGCUUAGUGUAGAGGAGAGUAGUGCCAGAGGAAGAAAGUAGCAGAGGGCGGCGUGCGGCCCUGCAUUGCAUCAAAUCAGCUGCCCCAUCACGGCCAUGCCCACGCCCAUCAUUCUGGGCCAAGGAGAACCUCGGGUGGCAGGCAGCACAGCGGGGGAGGCGGCGGUGCCAGGCCAGGAGGAAUUUGGCGAUGACAUUUACCAUCUGGCGAGGGAGCAGCCGUGGGUGGUGGCAGCAACUCAUCGAGCGGCGUGGAGGAGGGAGCCGCCAGGGUGGACCACGCCUACAGCCUGCACGUCACCGCCCGCCAUGCACUAAGGGCUGUGGGCGUGCAUGACCGCCAGCCAAAGACUCAGCCCAGAGGAAGAGCCAGGCCAGCACCACCACAGGGACAGAGGACGAUGAGGAGAGUGUUCCAACGCUGCUCCAACUCAAGGUUCAUAGGCCACACGCUGAGCCCUGCCAAGAUGUCCUGCCAGGUGGUCGGCCUCCACCCCUACACCUCCCACUGGUUCCUCCUGCUGCCCCACUACAAGGAUGUGCCAAGUAUGCCCUCCAGCCUGCAGUCCUUGGAUGACCCUCCGCGUGCCGUGGAUUAAGGCCAACCUUAACGUGUGCAUAUCUGGUGAGCUCUGGGACCACCCUGCCCUCCCUCACCCACAGGGAUGAGCUUAUCAAGGAGUGGGCGAAACCCUCCACACUCUGACCUGUGUGUUGGCCCGCCAUGUGUACGCCCUCGGCCUCAGCAGUCUGCCGCUGGAGCGCGUCGGUGAACGGCGACUCGUCAGGAGGGGCUUCACCAAGCGCUCCGGCCUGGAUGUUAGUGCUGAGUGUUGCCUCCCAGAUAGUGAAGUCGGUUAGUCUGAAUUGGUCUUAGAAAUCACUACGUUUACCUCAGUUUACUAAGGAGGAAGUUACACUGA